rnacentral:rRNA from 1 species
UAGGGAAUCUUCCACAAUGGACGCAAGUCUGAUGGAGCAACGCCGCGUGAGUGAAGAAGGUCUUCGGAUCGUAAAGCUCUGUUGUUGGUGAAGAAGGAUAGAGGCAGUAACUGGUCUUUAUUUGACGGUAAUCAACCAGAAAGUCACGGCUAACUACGUGCCAGCAGCCGCGGUAAUACGUAGGUGGCAAGCGUUGUCCGGAUUUAUUGGGCGUAAAGCGAGCGCAGGCGGAAUGAUAAGUCUGAUGUGAAAGCCCACGGCUCAACCGUGGAACUGCAUCGGAAACUGUCAUUCUUGAGUGCAGAAGAGGAGAGUGGAACUCCAUGUGUAGCGGUGGAAUGCGUAGAUAUAUGGAAGAACACCAGUGGCGAAGGCGGCUCUCUGGUCUGCAACUGACGCUGAGGCUCGAAAGCAUGGGGUAGCGAACAGGAUUAGAUACCCUGGUAGUCCAUGCCGUAAACGAUGAGCGCUAGGUGUUGGGGACUUUCCGGUCCUCAGUGCCGCAGCAAACGCAUUAAGCGCUCCGCCUGGGGAGU